UCAGCCUGCACCCCUCAUUACAUAAGACU
rnacentral:piRNA from 1 species